rnacentral:rRNA from 1 species
GUCCAUGCCGUAAACGUUGGGCACUAGGUGUGGGUCUCAACCAACGAGAUCCGCGCCGUCGCUAACGCAUUAAGUGCCCCGCCUGGGGAGUACGGUCGCAAGACUAAAACUCAAAGGAAUUGACGGGGGCCCGCACAAGCAGCGGAGCGUGUUGCUUAAUUCGAUGCAACGCGAAGAACCUUACCUGGGUUUGACAUGUAGGGAAAAGCUCUAGAGAUAGGGUGUCCUUCGGGGCUCUACACA